GGGGAUGUUUUGGUUUUGACAUCAGAUUAAUUGGUAUGUAAGCACGUCGAGCAUUUGCAGAGUAUCUCGUUAAUCGUAACUGUGAGCCUAUAACUGGCAACAAUUCUUAUGCACUUGCUGCGUAGUUAACUAAGUUAACACGCUUAAUCCGCCCUGCCAAGGCUGCCGGGCCGACAAGUAUCCCGCUUGCUCUUUAAGCCAACUAUGAGUUAAGCAUAUGGGGUAUCGUUAAAGUUGGAUGCUGGCGUGGACUUCUCUAAAACGCCUUAAGAUUUAGAGGAUAAGUUUCAGGUGGCCUGUCUGUUGACAGCCUGUUCCCGACAACCAAAAACAGAAUAAACGUGUAGAAAGCAUAUUGAUGGUUUGGUUGGACGGCGGUUCGAGUCCGCCCAUCUCCACUG
rnacentral:tmRNA from 1 species